GAGCGUGCGCUAGUUGAUAGGUUUACUUUGCAGAGGUAAUUUAAAGGUUUUUUCCUUCGCGCUUU
rnacentral:tRNA from 1 species